AUGCCGAACAGCAGGCAGAGGAUGUCACUUGUACCUCUUGCACACGACUAUCUUUUCAUUUCCAUAAGGACAGUAGGAAGAGUGAUGCUCACAAGUUGUCCUCACCGUCUGGCUUGGCCAAAAGACCUCUGUGAGUCCAACAGCGUCGUCAUGCGACAAGGACAAGGAGAGGCAAGUCCACCUAGGUGUUACACGGGGACGCUGUCAUCACAGGGAAACUCCAGUUCACCUGCCUCCACUUCCAUAUCUGCAAAAUGCAGGGGAUAUGCCCCGUGGUAUACACAGACCGCCAUACUCCAUUGGGUUCUCAUACUGAAAACAUGCAGAAAAAGUCAACUCAACAGCAAAAUGUCAACUAUAAAAAGAUAUCAUUGCCGAGUUCCUGCCACGUGUAAGUCUCCUAAGAGAUGCUUUGGGAUUUGUUAAUAAAAUAAUGAAUUUAUGUUAUGUUACAUUUUCAUAGUGUGUGUGAUAGUGCCUCUAGUCUUUCAUGCACAAAGCUAAUUGCUUCCACAGUCUCUACUAGGAAACAAGCAGAUGACAUCAACUUGCCUUUGGGGGGAUUCACACUUUCUUCUUUUGCUCAACACCUCCAUCCCAGCACUGUUGCUUCAAAUGAAUGAAUCAAGGCAGCUUGGGUGGCUCAGCGGUUUAGCACUGGUUUCAGCCCAGGACCUGAUCCUGGAGACCCGGGAUUGAGUCCUACGUCGGGCUGCCUGCAUGGGACCUGCUUCUCCCUCUGCCUGUCUCUCUCUCUCUCUCUCUCUCUCUCUGUCUCUCAUGAAUAAAUAAAUCAAUAAUCUUUUUAAAAAAUAAAUA
rnacentral:lncRNA from 12 species